UACGUAGGGGGCAAGCGUUGUCCGGAAUCAUUGGGCGUAAAGAGCGUGUAGGCGGUUCGGUAAGUCGGCUGUGAAAGUCGGGGGCUUAACCCUCGGAUGCCGGUGAAUACUGUCGGGCUUGAGUACGGAAGAGGCGAGUGGAAUUCCUGGUGUAGCGGUGAAAUGCGCAGAUAUCAGGAGGAACACCAAUUGCGAAGGCAGCUCGCUGGGACGUUACUGACGCUGAGACGCGAAAGCGUGGGGAGCAAACAGG
rnacentral:rRNA from 1 species